CACAUAUGAUCACUGAAGUUAAGCAAUGUUGAGCCUAGUCAGUACCUAGAUGGGUAACCGCUUAAGAAUACCAGGUGCUGUAAG